rnacentral:rRNA from 1 species
UAACUGAAGAGUUUGAUCAUGGCUCAGAUUGAACGCUGGCGGCAGGCUUAACACAUGCAAGUCGAGCGGGGGAAGGUAGCUUGCUACCGGACCUAGCGGCGGACGGGUGAGUAAUGCUUAGGAAUCUGCCUAUUAGUGGGGGACAACAUCUCGAAAGGGAUGCUAAUACCGCAUACGUCCUACGGGAGAAAGCAGGGGAUCUUCGGACCUUGCGCUAAUAGAUGAGCCUAAGUCGGAUUAGCUAGUUGGUGGGGUAAAGGCCUACCAAGGCGAUGAUCUGUAGCGGGUCUGAGAGGAUGAUCCGCCACACUGGGACUGAGACACGGCCCAGACUCCUACGGGAGGCAGCAGUGGGGAAUAUUGGACAAUGGGGGGAACCCUGAUCCAG